GUAGUAUUCCCUCCGUCCCAAAAUUCUUGUCUUACAUUUGUUUAGAUACAGAUGUAUCUAACACUAAAAUGUAACUAGAUACAUCCACAUUUAGAUAAAUUUAAGACAAGAAUUUUGGUAUGGAGGGAGUACAAA
rfam:Triticum aestivum genome assembly, contig: Triticum_aestivum_CS42_TGACv1_scaffold_225379_3B